rnacentral:tRNA from 1 species
CGAAAUUGGUAGACGCUGCGGACUU